rnacentral:misc_RNA from 1 species
AACGCACGAGACCUGCGGACCUGCGGAGGGAUCAUUACCGAGUUGUCACCGACUCCCAAACCCCUGCGAACCAUACCACCCGUUGCUUCGGCGGACCGCCCCGGCGCCCCCCGACCGCCGCCCCCCCCCCAGCGGGGGGGCGAGGCGGGAGGCCCGGACCCAGGCGCCCGCCGGGGGACACAGACUCGUGCCUUCGCCGCCGGCGGAACACCCCCUCUGAGUGACAGACGAAAUGAAUCA